rnacentral:rRNA from 1 species
ACGAACGCUGGCGGCGCGCUUAACACAUGCAAGUCGAGCGAUGAAAUUUCGACAGAUCCCUUCGGGGUGAAGAUGAAAUGGAUUAGCGGCGGACGGGUGAGUAACACGUGAGUAACCUGCCUUUGACAUUGGGAUAGCCUCGGGAAACUGAGAUUAAUACCAAAUGACACUAACUGAUCACAUGAUCAAUUAGUCAAAGAAAUUCGGUCAAAGAUGGACUCGCGGCUGAUUAGCUAGUUGGUGAGGUAACGGCCCACCAAGGCGACGAUCAGUAGCCGGCCUGAGAGGGUGAUCGGGCACAUUGGAACUGGGACACGGUCCAAACCCCUACGGGAGGCAGCAGUGGGGAAUAUUGCACCAUGGGGGAAACCCUGAUGCAGCGACGCCGCGUGAGCGAAGAAGGCCUUCGGGUCGUAAAGCUCUUUUAUGAGGGAAGAUAAUGACGGUACCUCAAGAAAAAGCCCCGGCUAACUACGUG